CCUACGGGAGGCAGCAGUGGGGAAUAUUGGACAAUGGGGGGAACCCUGAUCCAGCGACGCCGCGUGAGUGAAGAAGUAUUUCGGUAUGUAAAGCUCUAUCAGCAGGGAAGAAAGAAAUGACGGUACCUGACUACGAAGCCCCGGCUAACUACGUGCCAGCAGCCGCGGUAAUACGUAGGGGGCAAGCGUUAGCCGGAUUUACUGGGUGUAAAGGGAGCGUAGACGGCGAUGCAAGUCUGAAGUGAAAGGCGGGGGCCCAACCCCCGGACUGCUUUGGAAACUGUAUGGCUGGAGUGCAGGAGAGGUAAGUGGAAUUCCUAGUGUAGCGGUGAAAUGCGUAGAUAUUAGGAGGAACACCAGUGGCGAAGGCGGCUUACUGGACUGUAACUGACGUUGAGGCUCGAAAGCGUGGGGAGCAAACAGGAUUAGAUACCCUAGUAGUC
rnacentral:rRNA from 1 species